UACGAAGGGGCUAGCGUUGUUCGGAAUCACUGGGCGUAAAGCGCACGUAGGCGGAUCUUUAAGUCAGGGGUGAAAUCCCGAGGCUCAACCUCGGAACUGCCUUUGAUACUGGGGAUCUCGAGUCCGGGAGAGGUGAGUGGAACUGCGAGUGUAGAGGUGAAAUUCGUAGAUAUUCGCAAGAACACCAGUGGCGAAGGCGGCUCACUGGCCCGGUACUGACGCUGAGGUGCGAA
rnacentral:rRNA from 1 species